GGAAAGCGAUGCCAUGGAUUUAUAAGAAGCAUCGUUGGGGAGGUUCGUAUAUGUCGGGAUGUUUUCAGUGUACUGUUGCUGCCAGGAAAAAAGUCGAAUUCAUGGGUCAUGCUUUUGACCUUUUGCCAGGCCGGCAGCGCCGCGCUUAGGAUUCAGAAGGACGAGGGGGCAUCCUAGCAUGGAAAUGGCAUCAAAGAAUUAUGCGUUUUUAAUGUUUUAGUUGCCAAAAACUUCGUUUUUCGAUUGCGUCUAGUAGGGAUAUUGAAGUUGCUACCGGGAAAAAAGUUGAAUUCAGGGGUCACGAUUUUGACCUUUUGCCGGGUCGGCAGCGCCGCACCAAGGGUCAAUAAAAUCGAGGGUGCUUCUUGACAUGGGGACGGCAUCGAAACUUUGUGCAUUUUUAUAUAUAUUAUUAUAUAUUACACUGUUAUAUGUUUUGAUU